rnacentral:rRNA from 1 species
GGAUUAGAUACCCUGGUAGUCUACACUGUAAAUUCUGAGUGCUGUAAUUUAGUUAAUAUAUAACUAGAUUUUUUAAGCUAACGCACUAAGUAGACCGCCUGGGGAGUACGGCCGCAAGGCUAAAACUCGAAGAAAUUGACGGGGGCCCGCACAAGCGGUGGAGCAUGUGGUUUAAUUCGAUGCAACGCGAAGAACCUUACCUACACUUGACAUGCAGAGAACUUUCCAGAGAUGGAUUGGUGACUUCGGGAACUCUGACACAGGUGCUGCAUGGCUGUCGUCAGCUCGUGUCG